AAACCCACAGCAACAUGAGACAUACUUACCCACAGCAACCUCCAUUGCACUCAGGAGGGGUGCUUGUCUAAGGUCUCCCCAAGCGGGAGAGCCUACGUUAUAAUUUGUGGUAGAGGGGGCUGCGCAAGUCGCCGCCCCUG
rnacentral:snRNA from 1 species